rnacentral:rRNA from 1 species
CACGUAGGGUGCGAGCGUUGUCCGGAAUUAUUGGGCGUAAAGAGCUCGUAGGCGGUCCGUCACGUCGGAUGUGAAAUUCCAGGGCUCAACCCUGGACCUGCAUUCGAUACGGGCGGACUAGAGUUCGGUAGGGGAGAUUGGAAUUCCUGGUGUAGCGGUGGAAUGCGCAGAUAUCAGGAGGAACACCGAUGGCGAAGGCAGAUCUCUGGGCCGUAACUGACGCUGAGGAGCGAAAGCGUGGGGAGCGAACAGG